CCCUUCAGAGAGAGAGAGUGAAAAGACUCUUGCGACAAUAGAAAAGAGAGACUCUUGCGGCAAUAGAAAACAAAACGUAGCGUAAUCUUCUGCUUCAACUGUAGGUGGCUGGCCCCGAACAUGGCAAUGUAUCAUUCGUGCACGCUGAGCAAAGAACACAUCGUUUUGCUUCUAAGAGAACAGGCCGCCGCAGUUCAAAGGAACGCGUAGCGAGCGCUCUACUUUUUCACUCGGAGUGGCUCCACCGCGCGCGCGCGCGCUCAAGAUCGCGGAACAACACAGCACCGGAGAAAGUAGAUCCAUCCAGCGAGCAAAGGCCAGCCGAGGGAGAUCGUGUGGCAGCCAUCUCGCGUCGCCACGAAAACACGACAGUCGUUCGUCAUGCCUUGGAUAUAACAACAAAUCCUCCACGGCACCCGCUUUAUAUAACGCAAGAAGGCAGCUGCAAGGACACGAGGAUGUGAAAGAGCCAGUGCAGCGCGACUUCACGUAGUGUAGAGGAGCCAAUGCCAAAAAAUCAAAAUACAUUGGCAUGUUAUUUGGACAAGAAAACUAGUAUGUGGGUAUAUUGGGUGUACCAUUUGACCAAAUGUCAACAAAAUCAAGAUACAGUAUGUUACACGAAGAUGAAAAUUCUCACGUGCUCCAGGCAGUCAUCUUAACAUGGUAUAUUUAUGUAAUGUCUCUGAUUGGAAAGUCAAAUCAAGUAUGCUCACUGGAGACAAACACAUAGCAGCAAGUGUCAUUGAAAAGUUAAAAAUGUGUUUUAAGAAAGCUGAUUAGUUCUGAGAAGUGACUGCUUUUUGUCUUGCCUCUCAACACAUAUAUCCAUGUGAUAAAAAAAUAGUGGUACAAUGAAAUUGCAUAUUUGCUUAGCGACAUGAUACAUACUUGCAAUGAGCACGGUGCCUGUGUUUACUAUAGAAAGCAACAGCCCAUGCUUGGUUAGGUUAGGCCCACUACAACAUGCAGGCAUGGGAGAUUGGCGCUUUUUUUAUUUCUGUAUCGAGAGGUUUAUUGUCGUGCGUAUAGGUGCAGUGGCACGCAGUAUGGCUAGUACAAAAAAGGGGGGGGGGCAGAUAUAUGUAGCUCACUGUACACGAUACAGGGCAAAGGAAAUCCGUGUUCAGCAACUAUGUUAAAUGCCAUGUACGUAAAUUUUACAACGCUACUCGUUCGAAGCGCGCACAGGUGCAUAUUGAAGAAAAGUUUCCAGGGUAGAUAAUUUAGUUCGUAAUUUACACUAAUUUUGCUCUAACCACGAGACAUAAUAAUUUGAAUAUACUGCACGGAAAAACCUAGAGCGAAUUAAAUUGUGUGUCAGCUUCGUGUGUAUACAUAUAGUCUUCCCUAUGCAUUAGGUUUUUUGCGUAAUGCAUUAACAGUUGACAGCCUAUCUUAUGAUGUGUACUCUGUUUACAUUACAGUUGUUUAUUAGUUUACUCGUUUGUUUUGCGACUGAUGAAAUGCCGGCAUAUAUAUAUUUUCAACAUUUGACAUAACCCUGUAUGUUUUGCAGGGACAACCCAGGACGUGCAUUUCUCAGCACCCAGUCAACUGCCAAAAGUGACUCAAACACAGGCCACCAGUGGAACUCGGCUGUACCACUGCAGUGCUGCGGAAAUUGCCUUCACCAGCGGCUUUGCAACAGCUGUUUCGCAGCAUGUCGGAGACAAUGCCUACGAAAUUAUUGGCCCUGAUCAUGAGAGCCCUCAAGGGGCAAACAACAUCUCUGUUGCAGAAGUGAGCCCGGUACCACUUGGAAGUUACCAUGACAGAUGACACGGCAGCAAUAGAUACAGAGACUGCCACGUCUACUGCAGCUGCAACAGUGUACGAGGCAAGCAGCAGCGCGUCAGCAGCAGUGUCAGAAGGAACCACACCAGGCCUGGUAGAGCAACAUGUGUGCUAUCACUGACUUUUUUUGUAGUGGAUACAACUCAUUUGCUCAACAUACAAAAGCUUUUCACCACGACUGUGAGCCAGUGUUAUUGUGCAGCAAGUGCAAGACUAAGUUAAGUGUUAUAGCACAGUACAAGCAUCACUUUAACAUAUGAAAACAUAUUACAGUUGUUGCCUCCCCAGCCAGCCCACAUAGCCACAACAAUGUUGAACACAUGGUGGGACACACAUCUUCUCCAUUAGAAGAUAGUAGAGACUGUCAGUGUUGUUGUUAGAUUAACUGGUCUUUGUAGGCAACUAGGACAACACAGGUGUCAUAAGAUUGUUGUUGAUGUUGUUGUUGAAAAGGUAAAAAAGAAGUUUGAUGCAGCUGAAGUGCCAACUGAUAUUGAGCAAAUCAAAAGCAACCACCUGAGAAAGCAACACUAUCAAAAUUUGGGUAUCUAUGUGCCGCCAACUCUGGUAAGAAUGGCAUAGGACAGAAGUGUGAUGAAAAUCACACAGACACUGCUGUUGCAUCACUGGCCACAGUGAGCAGCAACUUGUAGGGCAAGAGAGUCAACUGAAACUAACAUUAUGAUAUAGUGUCAUGCUCCCAUGUGACCACUUUUCAAGUUAUUUUGCAAGAUACAGCUCAACCUCCAGAAACGAGACUGCAAGUUGUCUGUAAAAAAGCUUUCACAAAAAAUUAUUCAUAACACCAUUAACAUAGCAGUAUCUUUUUUUUUGUGUCGGUUCGAGGUUCCCGGCUGUCCAUUAAUGCAAAAAUUGAGGAAAAAAAGAACAUGUGUCGUACUUACACCUUUUUAACAAGUACGAGGGGGACAGAACUUUUCUAGUCAUGCAUCUUCAUCAUACUAUCAAGUUUUUAAAUGCCUUUUAUAAUUAUUAUUACCAGUUAUAUCUGAGUGCAUUGUAUGCAUGUAGCAGGUGUAAAAUCAGGUCAGUUGGAUCAGAUGCCUUAUCUGCAAGCGAGCCCUAUAUUCAAGAAAUUUGAAAUAAAACAGUUACGUUAGAGACGCAGUCUUUCAGCACUUUAUUGCCUGUGGUUUAAGCAUUGCUCAAUACUUUUGUGGGUGGCAAUUUCAACCGGCACAGCACUGCGCUUUGCCACAGUCACAUUUGUCUUCAAAGCGGUGUUUACCAUUUGUGUUGAUCUGUUUGUGUAUGCAUAGAGCAAGUUUUUAAUUUAUAUUUUUCUACAUUCUUGUGCUUGCACUAAGCUUGUAUAAGGCAGUUACAAAAUGUGCGGCACUAUAACGAACUGUUCUGUUGAGCUUACACUUGCAAAUAAUCGUGUUCAGAUGGCCGCACUUCUAUGCGGGUGCACCGCUAGCUUUGUGUAUGUUCUCAUGUUUGUAUAAAGCUUAUAUAAGCUAGUUAGAAAAUGUAUGUCACUAAGCAUUGUGAUAUUCUUUAAAGAACUGCUUGGUUGGUUUUACACUUGUGAAUUAGUAUUGAGGCAGUGGUAUUCCCAUGUAUGCCCACUGCUAGCUUUCUGUGUCCUCACGUGUUUGUAUUAAGUUUCUACAAGGGAGUUACAGCAUGUACGUCACUAAGCGCUGUGAUAUUUUUUAAAGAACUGCUUUGUUGGUUUUACACCUGUGAGUAAUAGUACUCGUGUGGCACUAGUCAUGUGUAGGUACACAGGGACCAUUUGUAUACAUUAUGCUCAUGUAAAGCAGUUACAAAGUGUAUGUCACUAAUUACUGUGAUAUUUGUUGAAUUGCUGUGAUGGUUUUACACAUGUGAAUAAUAGUGGUCAAGACACAGUACUUGCGGUGUAUAGUUUAAUUUAUACACUGCCAAGACAUGGGCUGUAUACGUACCAAAAGAAAUGUAUGUCAUUAUAUUGUUGUGAUUAUUACUGUUUGGAUUUUAUUAAACUGUAAUAAAAUUGUUUCUUGUAUCUA